rnacentral:rRNA from 1 species
CCUACGGGAGGCAGCAGUGAGGAAUAUUGGUCAAUGGGCGCAAGCCUGAACCAGCCAAGUCGCGUGAGGGAUGACGGUCCUAUGGAUUGUAAACCUCUUUUGUCGGGGAGCAAGGCCCGCCACGUGUGGCGGGAAGGAGAGUACCCGAAGAAAAAGCUUCGGCUAACUCCGUGCCAGCAGCCGCGGUAAUACGGAGGAUGCGAGCGUUAUCCGGAUUUACUGAGUGUAAAGGGAGCGUAGACGGCGCUGCAAGUCCGGAGUGAAAGCCCAUGGCUUAACCAUGGUACUGCUCUGGAAACUGUGGAGCUUGAGUGCGGGAGGGGCAGGCGGAAUUCCUAGUGUAGCGGUGAAAUGCGUAGAUAUUAGGAGGAACACCGGCGGCGAAGGCGGCCUGCUGGACCGUAACUGACGUUGAGGCUCGAAAGCGUGGGGAGCAAACAGGAUUAGAUACCCCGGUAGUC